GAUGAACGCUGGCGGCGUGCCUAAUACAUGCAAGUCGAGCGAACGGACGAGAAGCUUGCUUCUCUGAUGUUAGCGGCGGACGGGUGAGUAACACGUGGAUAACCUACCUAUAAGACUGGGAUAACUUCGGGAAACCGGAGCUAAUACCGGAUGAUAUUUUGAACCGCAUGGUUCAAAAGUGAAAGACGGUCUUGCUGUCACUUAUAGAUGGAUCCGCGCUGCAUUAGCUAGUUGGUAAGGUAACGGCUUACCAAGGCAACGAUGCAUAGCCGACCUGAGAGGGUGAUCGGCCACACUGGAACUGAGACACGGUCCAGACUCCUACGGGAGGCAGCAGUAGGGAAUCUUCCGCAAUGGGCGAAAGCCUGACAGAGCAACGCCGCGUGAGUGAUGAAGGUCUUCGGAUCGUAAAACUCUGUUAUUAGGGAAGAACAUAUGUGUAAGUAACUGUGCACAUCUUGACGGUACCUAAUCAGAAAGCCACGGCUAACUACGUG
rnacentral:rRNA from 1 species